rnacentral:lncRNA from 1 species
AUGUAGUCACUCCAGCCGCAGCCACAGCCCCCAGCAAAUUCACAGGACAGGCCGGAUGGGCCCGGGACACACGUCGAUGGCCAUAUGCUCCUGGAUGCUGAUGGUCGCCUUCUCCCCGCGCCGCCGGAGGGUCAUGCAGGCAGCGCCGCGGCGCGCGGCCCGGCCCGGCCCGGUGUGACCCCGGCCCGGGGGCAAGUCAGCGGGUCCCGCGGGGCGCUGCGGGGGCUGCGGGCAUCGCCGGCGUGGCCCCCGGACGGCCCUGACGCGGCUGCUGCCUGCUCCGCGGCGGCGGCCGGUGCGAGUGAGUGCGGGGCCGGCAGCAGGGGGCGGGCCCAGCCCGCGUCACCCGGCAGCAACCAAGCGGGAAAGACACCUGCCCCCAUUUUGGGGGGAUGGAAAUGGCUCAAGAGUGCUGAGCAUGUAUGUCUGAGGGAGCUCUACCGUUUGAUGGUCAUUGUGCCAGGGUUGCACCAGUUAGGGUGGAUACCUAGGAGCUUAGCUGAAGCCAGGUAUCCUCCAGGGCCUCCAGCUGUAUGUGGUUUGGCCCUAAAUGUCCACGAGGGAUCUCGGGAGGCCCCCAUGGGUACAUCGAGCCGAAGGUAACUGUGAAGGCGGGACUCCAUCUCUGUAGUUAUGCACAAAUGCUUUGGGAUCACCUCUGCUUGGACUACCAGGUUGCUUGCUGUCUGAGAUGCUUCUGUGCUUCUGGAUUUUGACGGACAUUGUAG